UCUGAAGAUGAGCACUCAGAUAAUAAUGUCCCUCAAGUUCAAUUUUUUUUACUGCAGCCUCUUUCCAUUGAUUGACAGCUUAAAUUAGGGAGAUAUUCGUAUCCAAUUCUUUUUGGAAGAAGUCAGUCCCAGCUUGCUGUCAGUGAACGGCUCAUUGUUCCCAACACUAAUUCCACAACUACUUAGAGUUGUAGCCGUUCUAGAAUUUGGUAGGGUUUAUUUAAUGUACUGACUUAAGUGCAUUUUGUUAAAACAUAUUUCAAGGCUAGGAAUCGAUCAUCCUUAGGCGAAUCUCUUUGUGCUCUGAGGGAAUCACUGGAUUAAUGGAUAGAAAAUAAUAUCGGUGCUUGGAUUCUAUCAGGACAUCUGUCAGUUUUAUCAUCCCGCUCCAGGUUCAGCAUUUCAAUGAGAAGGACAUCAGGAACAUAUAAGAAAGAUGCGGCAGCAAGGAAAUGUUCCAAGGCAGAGAGUCACAAAAAAUGAAGGAUUUUAUUGCUUUGCUUUUUUGUUUCAGCAGCAGUUCACAGGAAGGCAGAACCCAGAUCUGACAUCCUGUUCUGACACAUUAACCACUGAAAGAUUUGGAGAAUCAGACUGGUGAUCACAUGACUGUACUACUGUAAUGAAAGCCGAAUAACAAGCACACGGUGAAAUCUCUUCAGGAAAUAAACAGCAGGAAAUGAUAUAAUACGGAUAUGUAUCUCUUCAGUUAUUUCACACUUCAAGUUAGACUUUGAUUACAUCUUCUGCUUUCAAAACAGGAGUCUUUGGUUCUUAAUAAAUGUUGCCUUGGAGCAAAACAGCAAAAUGAUAAGUUUAUAGCUAGAGAUAAAGAUGAGAUCAAUGUGUCGGUCAAAUU